rnacentral:tRNA from 1 species
GCCGUGACAGGUAGCGCGUAUUGAAACCCUCGCGGCUCAGGCCCGCGAAGAUGAACGUGCGGAUCCAUUCGCGCCGCA